rnacentral:rRNA from 1 species
AUUGAACGCUGGCGGCAUGCUUUACACAUGCAAGUCGAACGGCAGCACGGGUGCUUGCACCUGGUGGCGAGUGGCGAACGGGUGAGUAAUGCAUCGGAACGUGCCCAUGAGUGGGGGAUAGCCCGGCGAAAGCCGGAUUAAUACCGCAUACGCCCUUAGGGGGAAAGCGGGGGAUCUUCGGACCUCGCGCUAUUGGAGCGGCCGAUGUCGGAUUAGCUAGUAGGUGAGGUAAAGGCUCACCUAGGCGACGAUCCGUAGCUGGUCUGAGAGGAUGAUCAGCCACACUGGGACUGAGACACGGCCCAGACUCCUACGGGAGGCAGCAGUGGGGAAUUUUGGACAAUGGGCGCAAGCCUGAUCCAGCCAUGCCGCGUGAGUGAAGAAGGCCUCGGUUGUAAGU